rnacentral:rRNA from 1 species
CAGUAGCCACGGUAAUACAGAGGAUGCAGGCGUUAUCCGGAAUGAUUGGGCGUAAAGCGUCUGUAGGUGGCUUUUCAAGUCCGCUGUCAAAUCCCAGGGCUCAACCCUGGACAGGCGGUGGAAACUACCAAGCUAGAGUACGGUAGGGGCAGAGGGAAUUUCCAGUGGAGCGGUGAAAUGCGUUGAGAUCGGAAAGAACACCAACGGCGAAAGCACUCUGCUGGGCCGACACUGACACUGAGAGACGAAAGCUAGGGGGGCAAACAGGAUUAGAUACCCCAGUAGUCCCUGUCUCUUAUAA